GACGAACGCUGGCGGCGUGCUUAACACAUGCAAGUCGAACGAAGAGCGAUGGAAGCUUGCCUCUAUCAAUCUUAGUGGCGAACGGGUGAGUAACGCGUAAUCAACCUGCCCUUCAGAGGGGGACAACAGUUGGAAACGACUGCUAAUACCGCAUACGAUCUAAUCUCGGCAUCGAGGAUAGAUGAAAGGUGGCCUCUACAUGUAAGCUAUCACUGAAGGAGGGGAUUGCGUCUGAUUAGCUAGUUGGAGGGGUAACGGCCCACCAAGGCGAUGAUCAGUAGCCGGUCUGAGAGGAUGAACGGCCACAUUGGGACUGAGACACGGCCCAGACUCCUACGGGAGGCAGCAGUGGGGAAUCUUCCGCAAUGGACGAAGGUCUGACGGAGCAACGCCGCGUGAGCGAUGACGGCCUUCGGGUUGUAAAGCUCUGUUAAUCGGGACGAAAGGCCUUCUUGCGAAUAGUGAGAAGGAUUGACGGUACCGGAAUAGAAAGCCACGGCUAACUACGUG
rnacentral:rRNA from 1 species